rnacentral:rRNA from 1 species
CGCCUUGCCAGCCCGCUCAGAAACGUUAAAGGAAGUUGACGGGGGCCCGGCACAAGCGGUGGAGCAUGUGGUUUAAUUCGAUGAUACGCGAGGAACCUUACCUGGGCUCAAAUGUAUGUUGACGUAUUCUGAAAGGGAUACUUCUUCGGACAAUAUACAAGGUGCUGCAUGGUUGUCGUCAGCUCGUGCCGUGAGGUGUCGGGUUAAGUCCCGCAACGAGCGCAACCCUUGCCUUUAGUUGCCAUCAGGUUAAGCUGGGGACUCUAAAGGAACUGCCUACGCAAGUAGUGAGGAAGGCGGGGAUGACGUCAAAUCAGCACGGCCCUUACGUCCAGGGCUACACACGUGCUACAAUGGCCGAUACAGAGGGCAGCUACCUGGUGACAGGAUGCAAAUCUCCAAAGUCGGUCUCAGUUCGGAUCGGAGUCUGCAACCCGACUCCGUGAAGUUGGAUUCGCUAGUAAUCGCGCAUCAGCCAUGGCGCGGUGAAUACGUUCCCGGGCCUU